CCAAAAACAUAGCCAUCAGAUAUUAUUGUAUGGUUUAACCUGCCCAAUGUUUAAAAUUAAUGGCCGCGGUACUCUGACCGUGCUAAGGUAGCGUAAUCAGUUGACUUUUAAAUGAAGUCAGGAAUGAAUGGGAGAACCGGGUUUAGCUGUCUUUAAAUUAUUAAAUUGAAUUUACUGUUUAAGUGAAAAAGCUUAACAAAUGAAAAGGGACGAGAAGACCCUUAGAAUUUUUUUUAAAAUAAAUUAUGUUUUUUAUAAUUUUAUUGGGGCGAUAGAGAAAUAUUUAAAACUUUCUUUUAAAAACAAACCGAUUAUAUUAAAAGAGAAUAAAUUACCUGAGGGAUAACAGCAUAAUUCUAUAAAUGAGUUUGUGACCUCGAUGUUGGACUAGGAAACUAGCAGGCUAGCCGUUUGUUAAGUUAGGUUCUGUUCGAACUUUUAUUCCUACGUGAUCUGAGUUCAGACCG
rnacentral:rRNA from 1 species